rnacentral:lncRNA from 1 species
UCUCUUUCAACUUUCCCACUCAGAGAACAUAAACCUUAAUAGCCGCCACCCAUUCCCACCGUCCUCCGGUGGAGGUGUCGGCUCCGAUCCUCACCAAAAUUAUACCACGGGACCUCCACGAACCCCUCUUCCUAGAUCCCAUAUCCGUUUCCCUCAAACACCCUUGAAUCCUAUCGAAUCUGGAUUUGAAGACGAACCCUAGAAAUUCCAAAAUCCUAAAUCGAGUGUUCGUUGAAUUUUUCCAGUCUAAAUUGAUUUUAUUCGUGUGUUCUUGUUAAGAACACAUGAUUAACUUCAAAAUCGGCCAGAACUCGGAUGAUUUGAAGACCCAGUCUCCCUCUUUCAUUUCCCAAACCUCUUCGUGGGUACUUUCUUUUCUUUCUUCGGUUUAAUCUUUUCUUCAUUUGUUUUUCUGUUUUCAGCUUCUUCCCGUGCUUUUGAAAAUCUUAGUUUUCUAAUUUCAGAGUGUUAAUUACAUGCGCGUUAGUUUUUUUGUUAAUAAGUUUUCUUUUAUUUAAGCAGUUUAAGAAUUUGUUGAUAAUUUAGUUCAAAUUUCAUUAAGUGCUUAGUUGCAUCAAUUAGAAUAAGUAGAAAUUUUGCCCGAAUUGUUUAUGUUUCUGUGGAUUUCAUUCAGAGUUGGGGUUUGUUAGUAAAUACUGAAUUGGGUUGGUUUCAUGUUGGGUUUGGAAGCUCAAAGAAAGAGGUCAGUCUAGUUUAGGGUUAAAUGUUGGGUCAACUUGACCCAUGAGCUGAAAGGUAGCUAGUUAACCAAGGUAAUAAUAGGUUUAUUAAGGGGUAAAUUGGGAAACCUGGGUAGGGAAUCUUGUAUAACUGAACUAGGAAGCUUCCUAGAAGCUGGGGUAGGAGCUAUUUUGAAAUUCUGAGGUUUACACUAGGGAUUUCUAAGCUAAAAUGAAAAUUUCUGAAGGUUUUAAGUGCAAUUUUGAACUCUUUAAGGCUGCCCUACUUGCCUUGCCUAUAAAGACAACUUUUCUUGCCUUUCAAGGCAGAACUUAAGUGAUAAAAAAUUAGAGAAAUCAAAACGGCUGAGGAUCCAGAAAAAAUGCUAAAAAAAUUCAUUGUUCGAUAGAAUUUGAGUUUUUUUGUCUCUUUUCCCUUAAUUUCUGAAACACGAUAGAAGUUCUGAGAGUGAUAAAAAUCACGAAAAGAAAGCAGCUAAGAGUUUUGGUAUUGUUCCAUUGAAUCAUCUUUUCAUUCCUUAACCAAUUUCUGGAGUUUUGAGUUCUGAACACAUUUCUGGUUUUAUUUUGAGAAUCAUAUGGAGUAAUUUUGAGUUUUCGAAGAGUUUUGGUUCAAUUGGUUGAGUAUUGUUGCUUUGUUGAGUUUCUCGAGUUGGUUUCAUCAUUUUCCAUUAUUGAAUCUGGGUGGGGGGGUGUUGUUGUUGAUCUAUCCCUGCUGUUACUCUACUGAUCUUUCAAUAUUUCCUUUUCUGUUUCAAUCUUCAGGUACACAUCUUUGAUUUUAAGCAUGUAAGUCAUGGUUGAUGAAGUGUUUUUUUGAAGGAAAUGAAGAUUAUGAUGUUAUCUCUGCUUAGCUCCUUUCUUAGUGUGUUUUGAGUUUCAUAUUGAUACUGUAAUAGGAUUAUUAUGUAGUGUAUGCUGAGUCGUGUUUGUUUAAAUUCCUAGGUUCUAUUGUUAUUACAAAUGACCAUCACUUUUAAGACCCAUAAAUGUUAUCUUUAAAAUUCAGGUUGUUAGAAUGUUUGUUAAUCACAAUACUACUAUAGUAAAGUUUGAUCAUGUGUUCAGAAGUUGAAGUCCACCUUUGUCUUCUUCUGUUGGUCGUGUGAAAUGGUAGGGAUGAUUAAGAGUGGGAUCUCUUUGGCACUUUUUCUAGUCAUAUAAAGUUUCUAGACAUAAUUUCUUUGUUUAAUUAGGUGUGUGAUGAUUUAGGAUUAAUAUAUCUUGCUCCAUUUCUACACUCAAGUUGACUAUGUCGUCUGUUCUGAGCUUUCUCAGUAUAAUGCAAUAGCU